UCGGCCGCUGGCCCGCAGGCCCCAUAGGCCUCUGGCUUGUGUUACAGGCCACAGGGCGCAUGUAACAACAACAACCACCCCCCACCCUCCCCCGCCUCUGGCCUCUUGGCUGUGCAGCUACCCGGUUCCACACUACAGAGGCACAGGGGGACAUAAAGACCAUUGUCCUGAGUUGCAGAGGUCAAUAGCAGAGACAGGGCUUCCUUCAGGGUCCCUGAUGAAAGCUGAAGCCCACUGGAAAAGUGAAGAUACUCUCUGCAAUAUAGGCACACCAGACCACCGUACUUGUGUGUCUGGCCAUGCUGCUCCACAGCCAAACCCAGAGCAAGGGCUGCUUCUGCUUCUCUGCCUCGUCUUUGUUCAUGAUGACCAAGAUUUGGCAUCCCUUUGCCUAGCUGUGAGGAGAAAUUCAAGGAUGGCCCAAAUUGUUGAAGGCUACCUUCUCUUCUCAUCAGCAUGAUGCAAACAGGUUUUUGAAACAGUACAUUCUUCUGAGCUGCUGGCUGCUUCACGCCACUGCAUCCUCCUAGGAUCUGCCUGAUCCCAGAGCCCUAGAGAGAAUUUGUGUGUGCAUACUAUAUGUGAACUUUAGAUAAAUAAGUAAACAUGCGAAACAGCUUCCAGAUAAUUGAAAGCAAAUGAAGGAGAGUGCAAAAAGAAAACAAUUUCUCUUGGGGUAAGCAGCUAAGGUGGCAGGUGUGAUUAAAAUCCAUGAUUUAUGGGUAGGUGGUUUACUAACAUGACAAUGCUGUUAGUGUUUGUUUGUUUGUUUGGGUGCAUUUGACAAUAAAGUUUUUUGUUGCUGUUGUGCUUGCUGUGGGUUUUGCUCAAGAGUUAGCCACUCAGGAAUUCCUAGUGCCUCACUGAGCAGUAAUUUAGCAAGCUCUCUUAUGGUCUUUUCCUGUCAACAUUAACAUGUCAAUUCAUUUUAAUAGUCUGGGCAUGCUCAGUGGGCAUGCAUUUUCUCAGUAGGUAUCCCAUGAGCCCACCCCAUGGUGCAGAAAUGUGUUAUAGCUUGUCUCAGACCUCUGAGACUUCAGCAGGUUUAUUUUCAUUAUGACCAAGUAUAUCUGUUAAAACAAAGCCACAAUAAUGUAUAAAAUCAAGACUCUAACAAAUGAAAUAGGUUAUGUAUAUUUGAUUGGUAAUUUAAGCUCUUUCAAAGGUUAGGUUGUACAGUCUGUCUUACACAAAAUUAUUACACAGAAGAGCGUAAAAUGUGUCCUGUCACUGCUUGUAGUUUUUGGAACUUAAAUGAUGUUCUGUCACAAUGGGGAUUUUCUGUAAUCAUGAUUAAUAGUUGAUGUGGCUUUUAUAUUAAAGAGAAUUUGCCUACCAUCUUUCUCAUUAAAGUGUUUUCAAAUGGAUUUUUAUGUAACGUUCUGUCUAUAAGUAAGUAGAUGAAUGAAUUGAAGAAAUAAGUAAAUGAGAAAUGAGCAAAUAAAUAAAUAACACACAAACUACUAAUUAGGAAUCUUGGUGGUUCAUAAAUCUGUCCCUCAGUUGUCAAACUAGGUGUCAAUUUACAUCCAAAAUUCAGAUGUGUUAGGGAAUACCUUGUCAGACAGAAAGGAAGUGAAAUAAACAAAG
rnacentral:lncRNA from 1 species